GGGGGUGUAUUGGUUUCGACAGGCGGUAGACUGGGUCUAUGGCUGCGGGCAGAGCGCCAACUCUUGAAACUAGCAAAAAAAUUAUCUGCCAAGAAAGAAGACGAGUUCGUCUCCGACGAAGCAGUACUUGCCCUCGCUGCCUGAUUGCAGUGAUGACAAGCAGGCCAGGUUGCUGCCGCUCUUAAGCGCCUGACACCUGUAAAAACAAGGGCUAACCUGGGAAAAGGACUGUGGUUCCCGGGGAAAUGCAAGCAGGAUAGGGUACCAGUACGUUCGCCACUGGACCGAGCGGUAUCCGAAAUACAGAUCAGUGACUACGCACGUAGACGUCAUAGGACGGCACGUUUGGACCUGGGUUCGAAUCCCAGCACCUCCA
rnacentral:tmRNA from 1 species